UACGCAGGGUGCAAGCGUUGUCCGGAAUUAUUGGGCGUAAAGAGCUCGUAGGCGGUUCGUCGCGUCGGCUGUGAAAUCCCGAGGCUCAACCUCGGGUCUGCAGUCGAUACGGGCGGACUGGAGUUCGGCAGGGGAGACUGGAAUUCCUGGUGUAGCGGUGAAAUGCGCAGAUAUCAGGAGGAACACCGGUGGCGAAGGCGGGUCUCUGGGCCGAUACUGACGCUGAGGAGCGAAAGCGUGGGGAGCGAACAGG
rnacentral:rRNA from 1 species